UACGUAGGGGGCAAGCGUUAUCCGGAUUUACUGGGUGUAAAGGGAGCGUAGACGGCAGUGCAAGUCUGGAGUGAAAGGCGGGGGCUCAACCCCCGGACUGCUCUGGAAACUGUACGGCUGGAGUGCAGGAAAGGUAAGUGGAAUUCCUAGUGUAGCGGUGAAAUGCGUAGAUAUUAGGAGGAACACCAGUGGCGAAGGCGGCUUACUGGACUGUAACUGACGUUGAGGCUCGAAAGCGUGGGGAGCAAACAGG
rnacentral:rRNA from 1 species